CUAAUGCCGGAUAUUGUGUCCUACUGCAUAGUAGGUUAACGAAAGAUUUAUCGUUGUGGGAUGAGCUUGCGUCCGAUUAGCUAGUUGGCGGGGUAAUAGCCCACCAAGGCGACGAUCGGUAGCCGGCCUGAGAGGGUGAUCGGCCACAUUGGGACUGAGAUACGGCCCAGUCUCCUACGGGAGGCAGCAGUAGGGAAUAUUGCGCAAUGGGGGGAACCCUGACGCAGCAACGCCACGUGUGGGAAGAAGCAUUUCGGUGUGUAAACCACUGUCGGAAAGGAAUAACGGAAGACUUCGGUCUUUAUGAAUGUACUUUUAGAGGAAGCACCGGCAAACUUCGUGCCAGCAUCCGCGGNANUACGAGGGGUG
rnacentral:rRNA from 1 species